CUGCCAUCUUGGGAGCGGCCCGCCCCAUCUUGGGAGCUCUAAGAACAAAGACUCACCGGGACUCAUUCUGUUGCCCAGGCUAGAAUGCAGUGGUGUAAUCAUGGCUCACUGCAACCUCCACCUCCUGGGCUCGAGUGAUCCUCCCAUCUGAACCUCCCCAACUAGCUGGAACCACAGGUGCGCACUACACCACAUCUGGCUGAUUUUUGUAUAUUUUGUAGAGACAGGUUUUCACCACGUCGCUCAGGCUAAUCUCACACUCCUGAACUGAUCUGCCCACCUUGGCUGUCCAAAGUGCCAGGAUUACAGAUAUGGGACACUGUGUGGUCCCCUCAACUUAUUUUUUUAACAUUUAUUUUUUCCAAUCAAGUUGCUCGUCUCUUUCACUUUUGUCCAAUUUGUUUCUUAUAUUUUCUUUUUAUUAUUAUUUUAAUAUUGAUUCAUUUUUUAACUUUUUUAUUCCUUUUAUUUCUUUCCCUAGUUUAUUUCAUAACUCACCUUUAUGCUUAUUUCUAUUUCACUGAUUUCAGUAUUAAUUAUUUUAAAUUGCUUUCUGUUGCACAGUUUUAGCUUUAUUAUUUCUUAUGCUAUUUAUUCUUUAUUUUUACUCAACUUCUUAGUUUCUUGCAUUGUGUUCUUUCACUUUAUCUCAUUGGUUUAAUUUCAUAAUUCUAAUUAUUUCCUGGUUAUUUUAACGUUCAUUUUAAGAAAUUGCUAUUGUUUUUAAUUUCAAAAAUGGUCUUCGUAUGGUAUAUGAAAAACAAUUCAAUGUGGAUGGCCCCAAGGACAAAGAAUCUGUACCAAGGAAAGGUGGCCUUGCAGUUUUCUAUCAAACUUCCCAGGAACAGCAGUUUGCAGCCUCCUCUUUGCCGCAACACACCAAAAGGAUCAGGGUCAUUGACUCUUAGUAGUUCUCAGCUGUGAUGCAGUAAAGCAUUUCAAAACCUCUAGCUGAAUGCUAAGACAAAGGCUUCUCAUUAUGCGAAGG